AGAUUCACCGACUUCAGUUGUAACUACAUCAUUGUCGAUCUGCGAACCUAUUACUGGCACAGUACAAUCGUUCAUUAACCUUGAAGGCUACUUGUGCAAACGGGUACUCAAGAAAUACAACUCAUGCAUGACUUGUGAAGAAGCCGUGAAGAUGAAGACCAACUUUUCAUCUUCGGUGUCGCAAUUGAUUUCCAUGAAAUCACGUGGAAGUUUGAUACACGCUAAUCUCCACUUUUUCAACCUUAUUCGGCAUGUUGAAGCUACAUUUGCGAAGUAUUGUUCUCGAAUUGAUGCUUUCGAUCUAACUCUCGAUGAAGUGUUGGAUACGUACACUUUUACUUUUCCAUGUAAAGAACAUGCUUCCGAAAUCCUUUCCUACGCUAUUAUUUAUUAUAUUAGACUACGAAUGAGACAAAAUGCUCACCAGGAAAAUCAAAAAUUGAAAAAAGACUUCGUUGUAAAAAAAAAAUUGUCAAAACUGACUAAUACUUAAACCGCGGGGAUGGAGAAAGCAGCUAAUCUUUUAUAAAUAAAGUAGAUCUCACUGUAA